GGUUGCCCUUUCCUUCUCCAGGGAUUGAACCUGGAUCUCUCCUUCCUGCCCCACCACCCCCGCCAGACCCUUAGCAAGCAGAUUUUUGCCACUGAGUCACCAGGGAAGCCCACUAGUUUAUGUGGAUAAGAUAAAUUAGGGAGGUCACUUAUUCUGUUAGACUGGCUCUGACAGCAGUUGGGUGGUGUGCACUGUGUGGGGCCUAGGAGAUGCUCUGAUUUACUGUUACUUAUAUGGAAGGUUUCUGCAUAGGAUCAGAAUUCAUAUGCAUUCUCAGCUUUAAACAUAAAACUGAAUUUUCAGGGAAAUUGAAUUCCAUCCACAGUAAAUUUUGAUUCUGUAAAUAAAAAGCUUGCAAAGUCUUAAUAAAAAGGAAACCAUCUAACCUUAAAAAUGAAUUUAUUACUAAGUGAAUUUAACUCACAAAAGGAAUUUUCCAUAAUAUUUAGACUUUUGUUGGUUUUGGCUUUGUUUGUUUCUUACUAACAUUUAUAGUUGUUUGGUCUGGUCAAAUAUUGAAUUUGAGUUCAAAGAUACAUCCCCUCUGAGGAUGCAGUCUAACGAGGCCAAGUAAAUAAUCGGAAAAAAAUAAGUUUCCAAGUUUUAAGGGCAGUACUCUUUCCAUGGCAGCAUGUCUUACCUUUUCAGUCAUCUGCAAAAUUGGGCUACUCAUUCCUACACAGGUGAAUGUGCUGAUUUCUGUCUUUUUCUUUCCCGCUUAUCCCCCAUCCUUCUUUGCUCAGUUUCCACUUUCUUUCCUCUUGAUGUUUGCCUCAUCUCUUCCUGUGUAAUGUAUGGCCACGUCUUUGGGGAGCAGCAGCGUGGCACCAGAAACAAGGGGCGCCCUCGCAGUUACAUUCUGCAGACUCAUCAUGGGGCUCCAGGCAGGUCACUAAUCGUGAAAUGGGGGAGUCAGUGCUGGCUGGGUGUUAGUUGAUUGAGGUGGCGUGGACAGAACCUGGGGACUUCAGGGCCCUGUCAGUGGCCCUUCAACAUAUUGCCAUUGCUGUCACUUACCUUACAGGCCUACGUGACCCAGCAGUCAGUUAUUCUGUGCAAGAGGGAGCAAGGGCUUUAAGUCGGGUGGCCAGAGGGUUAUUUCUCUGCUGUUUAACAGCUGUGUGACCUCAGGUGAGUUUCUUAAUCUCAUUUAUCCUCAAUUUCCUUGUUUGUAAUACCUCCCAUGAAAGGUGGUUCUCAGGAUCACAGAUAAUAUAACAUAAAAUACCCAGCAAAGUCCUGACACAAGGAAGGUGUUUAUAAAUGGUAGCUAUUGAUGUUUUAAGUAGGCUAAAAGGUCUCUUUCACAUGCUUUUACAGUCAUUUAAUCUCAAUCUCUCUUUCACAAACACACACAUACAACAGUUACCAUCCUAAGCUCCUCAAAUGGUCCAUGCACCUUACCAUUUUAAGAAUGGCCUUUUGUUCCCAGGGAAAUGGUUCUGUUGCCAGCUGAAAGGAAUAUUCAGGAAAUGGCUCAGGAAAAAAAAAAAAAAAAAAGUAGAAAUGUAUUAAAAAAAAAUUACUCUGUGGUAAUGUUAUCUCUUUGUCUCCUCUGCCUAAUUGUGAUGUCUCCCAAUGCUGUCAAAAACAACAGCCAAUCCAAAUCUUGUUGAAGUCUAGCCUGCCUGGGACUAGGGUACCCCUCUUAGCAUGCUUGCAGUUGUGUUACCUUGCUUGGAUCGACUAAUAAGUGGCCAGGAGUCAUUUUGCAUGACAGCCUUUCAAUUCUGCAGAAACCCUAAAACUGACCCAGAUAAAUGCCUGGGUCCCCCAGGACUGUGAGUCUCUACGUUGCCCCUUUGUUAGGUGUCAUAUCCUCUUGACUGCCUCUCAAGGUGAAGAGAACUGGGCGGCACUGGUGAGAGAGUGCAGCCAGGAGACCUGCUGCAGCCCCUGCAGGAGGGGCCCUGUCUUUGACUGAAGGCUGUAAUAUUGCUCUUGUGACAAGCGUCUUUUUAGUCAAAAGCAGUAAAUCUUCCCUUUUGUAAAUGACAGAUGGUUAGGAUUGUUACUUCUGUCUCCAGCAAACCCAUAAGAGGAAAAACAAACAGAUAACUGACAUUGAGUUCUUCUUGUUUUCAAGAAAACUAGGGAAGAUUUGAAGCCGUAUUGUUUCAGUAAGGUUUUGCAGUGUUUGUGAUCCACAGAACAACCCCACCCAUUCCCACCCACUGAUGUCCACAUGCUAAUAAUCCCCAGGACCUGUGAAUAUGUUAGGUUACAUGGCAAAGUGGAGAAUUUAUAAUUGCAGAUGGAGUUAAGGUUGCUAAUCAGCUACCCUUAAAAUAGGGAGAUUAUUCUGUAUUGCCUGGUGAGCCCAAUAGAAUCACAGUGGAAUAGGGAGCAGAAAGAGAAAGAGGUGACUGGACUCAAGGUUAGAGUGAUGUGGUCUGAGGACAUGACCGACCACAGCGGACUGGGAAGAGGGAGGAAGAGGGGCUGUGAGCCAAGGGACGCAGGUGGCCUCUAGAAGCUGAGAAAGGCAAGGAAACGUAUCUUUGGAACCUGGAACCUUCAGAAGGUCCUGCCAACACCUUGAUUUCAGCCCAGUGAGCCCCAUUGCAGACUUCUGACCUCCAGAAUUAAAAUAAAUCUGUGUUAAGUCAUUACGUUUGUGGUAAUGUUACAGUAGGAUAGAAAACUAAUACAGCAUUUAACUGCACAAUGAAAUAUCUAAAACUGAUGGACCCAAAUUUCCUCUCUCUUUCCAAGGAAGGUGCUGCUACUAGUGAAAUGACAAAGCAAAAGCAAGGAGAGGGAGUCAGCCGCGGGCCAGGCUGGCCACUGCCGGAGCGCUGGUUGGAGCGGUCUCUUCCGUUCCUGUCUCCUCGUCUCUCCUCGGCCUGGCCUCGGUCCGGGGUUCUUCCCCGCACCCCCGUGUUGCCGCUGCUUCUCUUUUCACCAGCAGUCUUCUCUCCAGCUCCCCGCUUCUCCUCUGAUGGGAGCUGGCACUGGCCCAGCUUAGCAAGAGGAAAAUGGACAUUCCUCCUAGUUUCCUCCCUCCUGUCCACACCUGCAUAGUCCCUGGGGAAGAGUCUUGACUGAAAGUGAGCAAAGAAAGGAGGAGUACACAGGAAAAAUAGACGCCUGAAAUCAGUCAGGCUGGACAUACUUCAAGGGAAGGGAGACAAACAGGAGAUGCCACCUCAUCUCAUUGACUUAGCUGUUGCCAUUUUUUUUAGCAAAGUUCCAGUGUACUCUCCACCAGGCCUGAGUGCAGCUGUUAUUCCUGUGUUCCCAGUGGUACAGCAGACCCUUCUCCAUUUCUCCAAAUGGUUAACUGCACACUUAGAGCUCUUGGCAGAGUCUGGGAUGCAGAGUUAAGUACUUGGGGUGUACCUAGCCCCAUCACCAUCUGUGAUCUGUACAAAAUUUGAUACACGCUUUAAGCUAGUCAAAUACUCAUUGGCCCUCUAUUGUGCACUUGGCAGUGCCCUAGGUGUAGGAAGUGGAGGUGGGCAGCAAGGACUAGUGAGCCCGGCUCUCUGGUGGAGAAAUGGGAUUUGGGGAUUGUGAUGAGCAGCGUCACAGCAUAUGAGCAAUUUACUGAAAGUGUUGUCCUAAAGACAUGAGCUUAUCUAGACAAAAACAAAAAAAUUAAAAUUCCUCCCCUAAAGGUUGUUCAGUGACUCUGUGUACUUCCAGGAGGACAAUAAGCUCUUUCUUUGGAAUCUGGGAGGUGCUUCCAGGGCAUGAGAAAGAAUGCUCUACUCUGCGGCCUUUGAUGUGAUCUCCCAGGUGUGCCAAAUAAUGCCUUGGUAGCUUUCCAACCACCUGUUGUCAUUUUACAAGUUUCGCCAGAUGCCUUUAUAUAUUGGGCAGAAUCAAAUCUUGAAAAGGGACGACGUGACAGCUUUAACGCCCAUCAUGUUCAAAGUAUACUCCAUGUCGGGGCUGCAUUGUCAUUCAUUAGAGAUGAAGAUUUACAGUGUCUUAAUUAGAAUCACCUGUCACUAACGGGUCUCAUUGGCUUCUGUCUUUCUCAGAAACUUUUGUUAGAGGGAUCUUUUCUUUUCGGCCACUGCUGCAUGGCACGUGGGAUCUUAGUUCUCCAACCAGGGGUCAACACUAUACUCCUUGCGGUGGGGUGGAAGUGCAGAGUCUUAACCACUGGACCACUAGGGAAGUCCCUAGAGAGAACUUUUUUUUUUUUAAUUGAGCUACCCCUUCUCUUCCCUCCCGCUUAUCUGAGUCAGAUGCUCUCAUAAUGCCUCACACUUCCUCUUUGUUAGCAGUCAUCACACCGAACGGUAGUGCCUAUUCACUCAUGUGUGUCUCCCACUAAGCUCUAAUCCGUGGCGGCUGGCCCAUGCCUGCCUUGUGUACGUUUGUUUGUACACCACUCAGCCCUGAUGGCAGCAGGUGAAUGAUACAUGUGGGUGUGUUGCGUGAGAGAAAGCCACUAUUGCUGCCUAAGAACUUACAGUGAUUCUCCAUUGUGUAUCAGAUACAGACGCUUCAUUUCAGUUCUCAGCUCCUUGGAUUUUUCUUGUAUAGGAGCUUUCAGAUCUCCUCCGGGCCCCUAUCUGAUUACUUGCAUCUUCGUGCUGUAGGGUGUCCACUCUGCCUGUCCACCCAGGGUAGUUUGUCCCCAAAGGCUGCUGCCAGCUCCUUGAUUUCUUCUCUGCACUCUUGCCACUCCCUCAUGGAGAGAGAUUCCUCUGCCCCCUUGAACCUGGGCUGGCCUGUGACCAAUUUGACCAACAGCCUAUGGCAGAAGUGACACUGGUGCCAAUUCUGGGCCUACUCUUAGUAAGAGAAGACAGUUUCCUAUCCCUUAGAGCCCUGAACUGCCACUAAUAAAUGCAGGCAAAUAAGCCACGUGGAGGAGGCUGAGGCACUAGCAAGUGAGUGAAGAAGCUCCAUUAGCCAGCCAGCCCAGGUGAGCCUUGAGGCGACUCCAAUCCCAGCUAGUCCCUGUUGUUUUCUGACUGUAACUACUCAAGAAAUCUGAGGCAGCACCACCCAGUCAAAUACGGUCAGCCUACAGAACCAUGAUAUAGCAAUAGUAGUUUUAAGCCACUGAGUUUUGGGGUGAUUUGCUGUAUAGCAAUAAAUACCCUAAAUACCACCCUCCAAGGUCCCAAAUGUAGAUUUUUGGUAAAGCUUUUCUGUGCAAGUCUAGUUGAUGAUAGUCCUUCCCUUCUCUAAUUCCCAUAGGACCUCUCAGUACCACACAUUUUGUUAUCCAGCGGUACAUAUUGUUUCUAUUUUCUAUACUCUGUUCUGGACUCCAUGACUUUCAAGAUACCAAGCAAUGGAAAUAUGUCUUUUGAGAUCCCUUCAACAAGUACCAGUCCUGGACAAAAUAUAAUUAAUAAGCUGUUGAAUUGAGUUUUAAAGCAUUCUUUGAGCUUUCUGCCAGCUCUUUUAGCUGUGAUUCUUCAUGGUAUCUUGGAGCAUUCUUUCAAGUCAUGGUUGUGAAGUAUGUCUGGUUGCAGGUAGCCCUCAAGAUCCACCCAAAGACAGAAUGCGACACAGCAGUGGUUCUCCAAGUCUGGUCCUGGAUCAGCAGCAUCACUGUCAGCUGGGAACCACUUAGACAUGCAGAUUCUAAGGUCUACCCUGGACCUGUGAAAUUUGAGGUUCUGGGAGUGGGGCCCAGCAUUCAGUGUUUGAACAAGUUUUCCAGAUAAUUGUGAUGCAUGCUGAAGCAUGAGCGUCAUUCUUGUAAGAGAAAAGAGUUCGAGGUUUAAGAUAGAAGGUCUAGGAUUUUUUCAUUAAACAGCAUUUAUUGGAUGUGCAUUUGCUUGUGCGGGGUGUAGUGUUAGGGGCAGGGGAUACUAAGAUGGCUAUCGGUUGGUCUCUGCCCUUGUGUGCUGAGGGAGGGUGAGGUGGCUGCUCUGUUUAUGUAUGUAUGAAUGAGACAUACCCCCAAAUGAUCUGUAGAAAACCCACACACUGAAUGAAACAGUCCAAUUUUUUUUUACCUUCACUUUUCUAUUUAAGGAUCAGAUGUCAUUAUCAUGAACUUAAAUAAGCUUUAGGAACCCUUUUAUCAGGAUAUGUUUUAUUAAAGAUUACUCCAUUAGUAAGUAGCCUGUUUAAAAUAGUAUUCACACUCACCAUUGAACAGAACAUCUAGAUAAGUAGAAAGAAAAUUAAAAUAAUUCAUAAUCCUACCACCAAUGGCUAAUACCACUUCAGUGCAUUUUCCUCCCAGCUUAUUAAUGCCUGGGUCUUUUUUCGUUUUUCUAUAUCUGCCUUAUGCUCUUAGUAACAUACUAUAUGCAUUCUAGGUCACUUGUUUCCUGAAGCUUCAGCAUCUUUUGGUGAAAUGGCCGUAGUAUAGUCACGAUGCUGUUUGCCCUGGGUGCAGCUGAGUAGUAGUGGAGACAGUUACUGGUUCCCCCUUUCAGUGCUGUCCAUGUCCUGCUUUCCCUUUGUUUAUUCUUUUCUAAUCAGCCCCAUAGACUCCUUCCUGUCUCUCCUCUCCACCUGUCCUACUUUUCUUCCUCCCCCUUUAGCUUUGUUGUCCACCCCUGGCUGGCGUGACCUUUCCACCCCUUGUCCCUUGAUUUCUCUUCAUCCUUCCUACACGAGGGCUGUUACCAACACACAGGGAACAGCUUCCCUUCCUUGUACAUUCUCUGACUUGGCAAAGCUCUCUUCAUUCCUCUGUUGUUGUGCUCUCAUGUGAGGGUUACACAUUUAGGGUCUGGGCUUGAGACUACAGAAUUCUUAUUUCUCUCUGCAUCCCCUAGGACAAGUGAAAGGACUUCUUGUAAUUCAUUUGCAAAAUGAAUAAAUAAAACCCCAAGGCCUGUCGGUCACCUGGAACUGCUGUUCACAAGUGCAAGACCCACUGGCAAGCCCCUAGGCUAUAUUAUACAGGCUUCUGACCUUGAUACACAGGCACUGUGAUUCCUUCAAGGAAGCCUCUGAAAAAGCUCAAAUCCAAAGCACAGGGAAGUAUUGAAACAAUACAGCCAAAACCAGAAGGAGCUACUUUCAGGUCAGAUAGGAAAUGGACAGCAUAGGAGAAGAGAGGGCUUGGGAAUGCUGUCUGUGGUGGCCCAGGACCCAUGACAGAGGGAAUGUGUAUUCUCUGAGACAAGAUUAGAACCCCUGCAUCUUUGUAGAGAAGACCAGAAUUGCUGUGAGACACAGCCUGGGAGGUAGACUGAAGUAAGCCAGUAGAGGUGCUUCCCUUGUUUUAUCUGAGAGCAGUAGUCAGUUCCACAGUCAUGAUUUCCAUCUUUGACAGCAAGCCAUUCAGGAGGAGGAGGAGGAAGCUGGGAGGCUGAGGAAGGAAGGGAGAGAAGCAUCUACUGAACCAUCAACUCAAGUGGCCUGGGAAGGAACUUCCUGGUCUGUGCUCAAGAAUGUACAGUGUUUUAAGCAUACUUCUUAUUCAAAGGAAUUUGAACAGAAUUUUGUUCAGUUCUUCCAGACUCUGGGUAUCUCCUCUUCUUCAGCUGUUAAUUGUCAAGCAUGGAGAGCUGAAGCUUACCUGCUCCUCAGUUCUUACUGAAAAAUGUAUAGAAAGUUCAGGUACAAAAUGCUAAACAGGAGGUGAGCUCUUCCACAUUCAGAUGACUUCCCCCGGCCCCCGUUUUGCUUUUUUCCCACAAACAGGUUUUGUUUGUUGGUUUAUUUUUUUUUCCUUUUCACAGUGAAGAUCGUGAGCAUUUAAAAACAAAGUAUGAAAAAAAAAUAAAAUAAAAACAAAGUAUGUAUGUAUGUCAAACUAUAAAGGAUUACAGUAAUAUGUGCUGUGGUUAUUGCUGUCUAAAAGACACACAAACUACUAGGCAACUCGGAAUUUGAAGGACUCUUGUCUGACAACUGUCUGUUCAUGUGGGCUACUGUGUGGUGGCGGAGUCUGCAUUAUUGCUGUAAGUCUGCUUUCCCAUUUCAUUCACUCUGCCAGGUUCCAAAAGGAGGAUUAUUUCCCAAGUUACAAAUAUACUUCCUUAAUGCCAUUUUCUUUUUUAGUUUGUAAUUUUAAUCACUGUAUCCCAAAUCCUCCAGAGCCAGGUUAUCUGUACUUUGUUUCCGUUGUCAGUUGCUGUGUAAUAAAAUACCCAAAUCCUAGCCGCUUGAAACCACAACCAUUUGUUCAUGUUUCUGUGCAUCAGAAAUUUGGGCAGGGCUCAGUGUGGAUGGCUCCUCUCUGCUCUGUGAUGUCUGUGACCUCUGUUGGAAUGGCCUGAAAGCUGACAGCUGGCUGGGCCUCUCUCUUACAGUAUCACCUGGAGUGAUUCAAGUGGGGUUUGAGAAUCAAAGAUGGGCUCACUCCCAAUUUCAGAGCACUUAGGUUCUCCCCCUGGUGGCCUCAUCACUCAGUAAUUUAGUCUGACAUUUGCAGGGCGGCUGGUUUCCAAGAGUGAAAGCAGGUGCUAUAGACCUCUAGAGACAUAGGCUUGGAAUUCUCAGAAUGUCAUUUCUGCAUUCUGUUAAUCAAUGCAAGUCACAGGCCAGAACAGUUCAACGGAUGGGUCUACAAACACUGCAUCUUGAUGAGAAAAUGAGCAUUUGCACACUGACAUAGAAGGCAUAGUUGGCAGCCAGCUUUGGAGACAAUCUACUGCAGCUUUCAAGAGGUAAACUGAUAUGCUAAGCACUACUCACAAGAGAAUGCUAAGACUCCUCCAUCUUCCACAGAGAAAAAUCUAAAGGUAUCUAAUCCAAAGAUGGACUCUUCAUGAGUUUCUACUGCUGAGAGGAGGAGGUGUGAUAAGCAUUAGGGUAAAAGUAAAGGUGAAAAGAGCUGGGUAGAUGUUGUAAUCGAAUCAUUUUUAAUAUAAGUAUUUCUUAUCUAGUCAGCUCUUCUGAACUAGGCUUUAGAUGAUCUAUAGUCUGCUUUUCAGCUUUCUUUUAUGGAUCAGUACUCUGAUUAUUUUUAACUUUAUGUCAGUAUUCUCUAAGUUACUUAACUUACUGGACUCUAGAACUAAGCUAUUAGCAUUUUUUGAUGUCUUAUCCCACCUGUUAAGGUAACUUUUCUCUAUAGUAUGUUACAUUUUACUAACAGUUUGUAAUUACUUAAAAUGCUUAAAUGGCAGAGGGGAAUCUUGAGUCUUAAUUGUCUUCAGCAAGGAUAUUAGUCACUAGCCCUCUCAAGAAUACUUCUUUGGAUAAAAGGGUCAAUUCAACGAGGAGAUAUAACAUUUGUAAAUGUUUAUGCACAUAAUAUAGGAACACCUAAAUGUAUAAAGCAAAUAUUAACAUACUUAAGGAGAGAAAUGGACAGCAGUAUGAUAAUAGUAGGGGGUUUUAAUAACCCACUUACAUCAAUAGAAAUCACUCAUAGGCAGAAAAUCAAACAUAUGCCUUAAAUGACAAAUUAGACAAGAUGGACUUAACAGAAAUAAAGCAUUCUAUCCAACAGCAAUACAAAAUGCAUUUUUUUCCCAGUGUGCAUGGAACAUUCUCCAGGAUAGAUCAUGUUUUAGGCCACAAAACAGUCUUAACAAAUUUAAGAAGACUGAAAUCAUAUCAGCCAUAUUUUCUCACCAUGCUGCUAUGAAAGUAGAAAUCAAUUACAAGAAUAAAAUCAGAAAAUUCACAAAUAUGUGGCAAUUAAGCUACCAAACAAAUAGGUCAACAGAGAAAUCAUAAAAACCUUGAGACAAGUGAAAAUGGAAAUAAAACGUACGAAAACCUAUGGGAUGAAGCAAAAGCUGUUCUAAGAAGAAAGGUUGUAGUGACAAGUGUAUACUUCAUGAAACAAGAAAAUCUCAAACAACCUAACUAUAUCUCAAGGAAUUAAAAGAACAAAGGUUAGUAAAAAGAAAGAAGUAAUAAAGAACAGAGCAGAAACAAAUGAAAUAGAGACUAAGAAGACAAUAGAAAAUACCAGUGAAACCAGGAGAUGGUCUUUGGUUGACAAAUCUUUAGUGAGACUUAUCAAGAGAAAAAGAGAAAGGGCUGAAAGAAAUUAGAGGAGACAUUACAACUGAUGCCACAGAAAUACAAAGGUUCAUGAAACUACUGUGAACAACUGCAUGCCGACAACCUGAACAACCUAGAAGAAUUAGCUACAUUCCUGGAAACACAACAUUCUGACAGAGUCAUGAGGAAUAGGAAGUGUGAACAGACCAACUGUUAGUAAGGAGACUGAAUCAGUAAAACCUUCCAAAAAACCGUAGGAUCAAGUGGCUUCAUUGGUGAAUUCCAACCAACUUUCAAAGAUGAAUUAAUACAAUACCAAAAUCAGAUUAGGACAUCACAAGGAAAGAAAAUCAAAGGCCAAUAUCCCUGGUAACCAUAGAUGCAGAAAUCCUCAACAAAAUAUUAGUAAACCAAAUUCAACCAUAUAUUAAAAGGAUCAUACAUCAUGAUCAAAUGGGAUUUAUUCCAAGGCUGCAAGGAUGGUUUAACAUCUUCAAAACAAGGUGAUACACCACAAUAACAAAAUGAAAGAUAAAAAUUAUAUUAGCAUCUCAAUAGAUACAGAAAAAGUAUGUGACAAAUUUCUAACAUUCAUUUAUGAUAAAAACUCAACAACAUGAGUAUAAAGGGAAUUCACCUGAACACAAUAGAGACCAUAUAUAACAAGUUCAUAACUAACACCACACUCAGAGAUGAAAAGCUGAAAACUUUUAAGAUUAGAAAGAAGAUGAGAAUGCUCACUCUUGUCCCUUUUAUUAAACACAGUAUUAGAAGGCAAAAGAAAGGAAAGGCAUCCAAAUUAGAAAGAAGUAAAACUGUCACUAUUUGCACAUGACAUGACAGUAUAUGUUAAAAAAAACAACCUGAAGACUUCCUAGAAAAUGAAUUCAGUA